rnacentral:rRNA from 1 species
GGAGGAAAAGAAACCAACAGGGAUUGCCCCAGUAACGGCGAGUGAAGCGGCAGCAGCUCAAAUUUGAAAUCUGGGGUCCCCGACCUCCGAGUUGUAAUUUGGAGAGGCAUCUUCGGGGGGGAGCGCCGGCCCAUGUUCCUUGGGACAGGACGUCACAGAGGGUGAGAAUCCCGUGCCUGGCCGGCUGCCUCCUCCCGGGUGAAGGGCCUUCGACGAGUCGAGUUGUUUGGGAAUGCAGCUCCAAGUGGGUGGUAAAUUUCAUCUAAAGCUAAAUACCGGCGGGAGACCGAUAGCGCACAAGUAGAGUGAUCGAAAGAUGAAAAGCACUUUGAAAAUAGAGUCAAAAAGUACGUGAAAUUGUUGAAAGGGAAGCGCUUGAGACCAGACUCAGGCCCGGGCAAACAUCGCGCCCCUCGGGGCCGUGCAAUUGCCUGGGCCUGGGCCAGCAUCAGUUGGCGUGGCGGGACAAAGGCGCGGGGAAUGUGGCUCCCCUCGAGGAGUGUUAUCAGGCCCGCGCUCAAUGCCGCCGACGUCGACUGAGGACCGCGCCUCGGCUAGGAUGCUGGCUUAAUGGCCUUCAGCGACCCGUCUUGAAACACGGACCAAGGAGUCUAACAUCUAUGCGAGUGUUUGGGCGACAAACCCUUGCGCGGAAUGAAAGUGAGCGGAGGUGGGAACCCCCCAGCGGGGCGCACCAUCGACCGAUCCUGAUGUCUUCGGAUGGAUUUGAGUAGGAGCAUAGCUGUUGGGACCCGAAAGAUGGUGAACUAUGCCUGAAUAGGGUGAAGCCAGAGGAAACUCUGGUGGAGGCUCGCAGCGGUUCUGACGUGCAAAUCGAUCGUCAAAUUUGGGUAUAGGGGCGAAAGACA